rnacentral:rRNA from 1 species
CCAGCAGCUGCGGUAAUUCCAGCUCUAAUAGCAUCUAUUAAAGUUGUUGCAGUUACAAAGCUCGUAGUCGGAUUUUGGGCGCGUGUGGGCUGUCGGCCUCUGGUCGGACGGCAUGCGCGUGCCUUUCUGCUUGGGAGCCCCAUGGCGGUUCACGCCGUCGUGGUGGGUCACAGGCAGUUUACUUUGAAAAAAUUAGAGUGUUCAAAGCAGGCUAUUGCUUGAAUAGAUUAGCAUGGAAUAAUGGAAUAGGACCUUGGUGCUAUUUCGUUGGUUAUGGGACUGGGGUAAUGAUUAAUAGGGACAGUUGGGGCCGUUCAUAUUUCGUUGUCAGGGGUGAAAUUCUUGGAUUUACGAACGAUGAACUUGUGCGAAAGCAUUCGGCAAGGAUGUUUUCAUUGAUCAAGAACGAACGU